rnacentral:rRNA from 1 species
UAGGGAAUAUUGCAAAAUGGGCGAAAGCCCGAUGCAGCAACGCCGCGUGGGCGAUGAAGGCCUUCGGGUCGUAAAGCCCUUUUUGAGGGGAUGAGGAAGGACAGUACCCUCAGAAUAAGCCUCGGCUAACUACGUGCCAGCAGCCGCGGUAAAACGUAGGAGGCGAGCGUUAUCCGGAUUUACUGGGCGUAAAGCGCGUGCAGGCGGAUUGGAGAGUUGGAUGUGAAAGCUCCCGGCUUAACUGGGAGAGGUCGUUCAAUACUUCCAGUCUUGAGUGCAGUAGAGGGAAGUGGAAUUCCGGGUGUAGUGGUGAAAUGCUUAGAUAUCUGGAGGAACACCAGUGGCGAAAGCGGCUUCCUGGACUGUAACUGACGCUCAGACGCGAAAGCUAGGGUAGCAAACG